UCAUCAAUCUGUGCACAGGAAGUAGAUCUCUCUCACACACAAAAGGAUGCUCACUUUUGAAUUUCUGCUGUUUAUUCAUUGCCUAAAUUUUACUAAAAUUUAAUACAAAUCACUUUUUUUUUAAUAUUAAAAUAUCAUUUUAGAGAAUUGAAAUUAGAUUAAAACAACACACAAACGGAGUCAAAACGUCAUACAGGUGUCUGCAGCCAUGUUGGGCGAUUUCAUGCUGCGAACAUUACGGGGCAAAGCUUUGAUGGAAAGCCGCGAAGUCGAGAUGAGUCCCAGCAAGGAAACCGUCAAGAAAAAAUCCGAGAAUGAUGUUCCCAAGUCUAGCCCCAAAAGGGUUUUCAUUCAGAAGGAAUUAGUCAAGGAUAAGAUAACUCCGGGAAAGAAAAGAAACUUCAAAGAUUAAAGAUGGUUAAAAGAAGGAAAAACUAAUUGAUGACUCUGUGACAGAAGGCAAAAUGAAGAUGUUUAGCUAAGGGACUCUUGUUAUUCCUUUUAUAUUCCUUUUUAUUAUUUUGUUUUUUUCUUUUUAGAAUUGAAAACAAAAUAUCUUUCAAAAUUGUAUAUUUAGUUUUAAGUGAUUUCCCAAAGACUAAUAUACAUUUUUUGUGGCAAACUAAAGCUUCAGUAGUCUUCAUCAAUGUACGUCAACAGGGGUUCGGCCUAGAUGACACGAACUUUGAGAUGACUAGCACGAGCCAUUGGAAAGACAAGUUUAGAGCAAGUAAAAUAUAAAAAAAAAACUAAGGGAUAGAACCGUUCAAUCUCACCAUAAUGCAAUAUUUAUCUCCUCUAAUUAUAUAGAUAAAAUUUAAAAAAAAACUUAUUGACUAACUAA